rnacentral:rRNA from 1 species
UGAGCAAUCUGCCCUUCUCAUCGGAAUAAGCGUUGGAAACGACGUCUAAUGCCGAAUACGACCUCCUUUCGCAUGAUCGUAGGUGGAAAGCUCCGGCGGAGAAGGAUGAGCUCGCGGCCUAUCAGCUAGUUGGUGUGGGUAAUGGCCCACCAAGGCGACGACGGGUAGCCGGCCUGGAGGAGGGCGACCAGCCACACGUGGGACUGAGAUACGGCCCAGACCUCCGUAGGGAG